GAUGCAGCGAUGCCGCGUGAGUGAAGAAGGCCUUUGGGUUGUAAAGCUCUUUCGUCGGGGAAGAAAAUGACUGUACCCGAAUAAGAAGGUCCGGCUAACUUCGUGCCAGCAGCCGCGGUAAUACGAAGGGACCUAGCGUAGUUCGGAAUUACUGGGCUUAAAGAGUUCGUAGGUGGUUAAAAAAGUUGGUGGUGAAAUCCCAGAGCUUAACUCUGGAACUGCCAUCAAAACUUUUUAGCUAGAGUAUGAUAGAGGAAAGCAGAAUUUCUAGUGUAGAGGUGAAAUUCGUAGAUAUUAGAAAGAAUACCAAUUGCGAAGGCAGCUUUCUGGAUCAUUACUGACACUGAGGAACGAAAGCAUGGGUAGCGAAGAGGAUUAGAUACCCUCGUAGUCCAUGCCGUAAACGAUGUGUGUUAGACGUUGGAAAUUUA
rnacentral:rRNA from 1 species